rnacentral:rRNA from 1 species
UACAGAGGGUGCGAGCGUUAAUCGGAAUUACUGGGCGUAAAGCGCACGUAGGCGGCUUUGUAAGUUAGAGGUGAAAGCCCGGGGCUCAACUCCGGAAUUGCCUUUAAGACUGCAUCGCUAGAAUUGUGGAGAGGUAAGUGGAAUCCCGAGUGUAGAGGUGAAAUUCGUAGAUAUUCGGAAGAACACCAGUGGCGAAGGCGACUUACUGGACACAUAUUGACGCUGAGGUGCGAAAGCGUGGGGAGCAAACAGG